AUAUGUUUACCUGUUGUCACAAACAUAGCAUUUCAGUGUUCAGUUUGUUUUUGCCGAGUAGUUACGUUUUGAUAGUGUAUUCUGUGCCCUAUUUAAAGACAAUUUAUUGAUUGAAGAAGAACAUUCAGUUGCAGAAUUCCAAAGAUGGUUAGACUUGUAUAUGACAUGUGACGGUAAAAUGACAGAAUUACCACUAUUGAACAACGUACAAACUUAAAAUUCCCUAGGAUUUUUUAUUUUUGUCCAUAUCAACUUUAAUACUUCGUAUCAUAUAUCCGAGAACAUCCAAAACUCUAUGAAAUUGAAAAUUCUAUCUGUUCCGACUUUGAAUUAUUCCAAAAAAAAGGCUUAGAAAAAGUCAGUCCAUUUAGGCCCGAAAAUUUUAUAGUGGCAACACUGAAUAGGGGUACUGGAAUCAUCCAUUGGCGUCGUAUAUAAAGCGUGUUUUUUAUAGAGGUAUAGAACUUUAAGUUGCAAUAAAACGAUGGAUUAUUCGAUUGA